rnacentral:lncRNA from 1 species
AUGACACCACUCCCACUGCAACCAUGGAGACCAGUUUAUGGGAGGCAGUGUUUGUUGUUGUUUUUUAAUUUCCCCUCCUUCCCUCCCUCCCUCCCUUCUUCCUCUCUUUCCCACCUUCUUUCUUCUCUCCCUCCUUCUCUUCCUUCCUUCCUCCCUCUCCCCCUCCAUCUUUCUCUUCCUCCUUCCCUCCCUCCUUUUUUCUUCCUCCCUCCUUUUCUUCCUUCCUUCCCUCCCUCCCUUCUUUCACCUUUUUUUGUAGAAAACAUCAGCCUAACCCAUUCCCACCUGUCAGGAAUCAUUCCCUGGCCUUUCAGCUCCUUCCCAGAACUAUUUGGCAACUGGACAUCCUGCAGGAGAAUCAGAGGUGGGAAAGCAAAGAGACUGAACAUCUGUUACCUAAGGAAGAAGCCAGCAGUCAGGCUGUUCCUCUUGCUGCCGGAGGAGGAACCAAGGCCGGCAAACCGGGGAUUGUCUUGUCUGGUGAGAAGUGGGGCCUUUUCUCCACGGUGGCUGAGAAGGUAUCUUCUUUUUCUAUUGCUGCUGUAACAAAUUACAAUAGAAAAUUAACAAAUUACCAUACACUCAGCAGCUUAUGACUGAGUGUAAAAUAGCGAAUCUAUUUUACAAUAAAUCCCCUACAUAUGAAUGAGUUCCA